UGGUUCAGUUUUGACAUAUUAAGUUUAAUAAUCUAUCAAACAGAAGUGUAUUAGGCAAUUAGAUACACAAGUCUGGUAUUCAGGAGAGGCAGUGAAGACAUCAGAAAAGAAAGGAUCGCAAGUAGG